GAGAAGGGAGAUGAGUAAGCUGAGAUCCUGUUUUUAUUCAAGUCCACAAAUUUGACGACACAAUACAGGAAAAGCUCUUUGUAUUUAGUGUGUCAUCGAAGACCGCGCCAUUUUGAACAGUAUGGGAUUCUAUAGCUUGGUUCGGGAGUGUUACAAAGACCAUGAUGGACUGUGGAAGCGGCCCUUAAUGUUCCCUUUUCUAAUAUGCCUCUCUGUUUUUGCAGGAUGCCGCGGACGGACCAUGCAGAGGACUCAUCGCGACGACACCAACGGUUUGGUUAAGUGGGUUCUCUUGUGUGUGCGUCUGUGUGUGAAUGGCAGGCCUGUCGUAUGAUUGUGUGUGUGUGUGCGUUGGCGUUAUGCCUUCGCACUAUUAUUUUGUUAGGAUGUAUUUUUGUGUGUGAACUUUUUGCACGUAAUCUUUUUUUAUACCCAUAGCUAGCGUUUGUUUGUGUGGCAGUGUUCCGGGAGAUGGACGCCGGGGGACAUGGGCUUGGGGAGGCGCACAUGACCUCCUCUGUCCGUGACCUCUUCAGCUGGGGAGACCGUGUGUUGCCCCGCCUGGAGAGACACGUUGAUGGAGGUGGCCGUGUGUGUCACCCUUUGCCUGUAUCCUCUGGCGCCCAGAGGCGCGUAAGCGGAGAGCAUCGGCGCAGCGCGGGAGCAGCACGUCAGGGUGUAGGGUGUUUGUUUAGCUGGUGUAGGGAGCUUAGGGUGUUAGGGUGUUAGGUGUAACAACGGUUGGCUCUUUCACAGAACGGGUGUGAUUCCGUUCUGCGUUUGAGUCUUCCACCUUCAGACGGUCUCCCUCUGAGAUGUCUGAAGUUUUUUUGUCGGUUUUCUCCGUAGGAGGAAGCCGACUCUAGCUACUCUGGCCUCUCUUCCGGGGGUCAGGGCGGUCGGGCUCUGCUUGGCCAGGCGUUGCCUUUCGCGUUGUCUCCGCCGACGUUUUGCCAGACUCUUCCGUAAGGUUGAGCCUGGCUUUUUUAUUAGGUGGAUCAGGCUGCCUUCUUCCAAGGAGUCUGAUGGGAGUGGAGUCUUUUUUUUGGUGUAUGUCUGUGGGUACUUAGUGGGUAAGGGAGGGUGGGGUAGAAUGGUUGGUGGGCUGGAAGUGGGUUGGGGGAUGAGCCUCCUGGGAUUUGGGUUGUGUCGAGCCUUACCGCCUGGUGUGUUGGGUAACCUUCACGCCAGGGGGGGGGUGCCAAGACCAUAUCCAUCUCCUGGGCAGGGCGAUUCCCCUUUCCCAUGCCAACUGGCCCUCCUCCGUCUGCCUCCCCAAACCCCCGCUAAGUGCUUGUGUGUGUUAUUUUAUUUAGGAUGUCUUUUUUUUCUAUGCCUUUUUCCCGUGUGUUUAUACCCAAUAGCUAGCGUGUGUGUGUGUGUGGCAGUCCAGAGGCGCGUGCAGCGAGGACAUCACUUCACGUCACUACGGUAUAUCCACGGUAUUUGGUUUAGUGUGUGCUGUGUGUGUUUGUGUGUGUGAUGGCAGGCCUGCCGUGUGUUUGACCUUUUGCUGUGUGUUGCUGUGUGACUGCUAGGAUUUCAUUUCUAUGUAUGUUUUUUUCCCCAUAACCCCCUUCCUCCCUAGCUCUUUAGCUGUUGUCCCUGCUGGGUGGAUGCUGCCGGGCGACCAACGGCGGUGGCGGUGU